UGUCCCCAUGGCACAGGGCCCAGCUGUCGACUAUACUAGCCGAUGGGUGGAUGAUGGUCCCUGUGUUUGGG
rnacentral:pre_miRNA from 1 species